rnacentral:rRNA from 1 species
UACAGAGGGUGCGAGCGUUAAUCGGAAUUACUGGGCGUAAAGGGCGCGUAGGCGGCCUGCUAAGUCGAACGUGAAAUCCCCGGGCUCAACCCGGGAACUGCGUCCGAUACUGGCAGGCUUGAAUCCGGGAGAGGGAUGUGGAAUUCCAGGUGUAGCGGUGAAAUGCGUAGAUAUCGGGAGGAACACCAGUGGCGAAGGCGACUACCUGGCCUGUUCUUGACGCUGAGGCGCGAAAGCUAGGGGAGCAAACGGG